rnacentral:rRNA from 1 species
CAGCAGCCGCGGUAAUGCGUAGGUCCCGAGCGUUGUCCGGAUUUAUUGGGCGUAAAGCGAGCGCAGGCGGUUAGAUAAGUCUGAAGUUAAAGGCUGUGACUUAACCAUAGUACGCUUUGGAAACUGUUUAACUUGAGUGCAAGAGGGGAGAGUGGAAUUCCAUGUGUAGCGGUGAAAUGCGUAGAUAUAUGGAGGAACACCGGUGGCGAAAGCGGCUCUCUGGCUUGUAACUGACGCUGAGGCUCGAAAGCGUGGGGAGCAAACAGGAUUAGAUACCCCCGUAGUCCCUGUCUCUUAUACA